rnacentral:lncRNA from 10 species
CUUCAGCCCUAGGUGAUAGAGAAUUGGCAGACUGCGGAGGGCGUUAGAAAGCCCAAAAUCCCGGGCGCCGGGAGGCAAUAAGAGCAGAAGAUGAAGGGCUUGGGGUCAGGGAUGAGCCUGAGGUCCUAGGGGAGGACAGAGAACCAGAAAAUGAGAGCGGAGUAGGCUCUUUUAGCCUCUUGGAGAGAAGUGGGUCGAGAUUAGGAUGGACCCGGCGGGGGCCUUUCUUCUUUAGGUGCAGGGAUUUGCCCAGAAGACCAGGGCUAGGCGACGCCCAGCAGGCUGCCCCGAGUGCCGCCGGGUCAGUCAGGACCCUGGAAGGAAGGAGCCCGCUAUGUCCGAGCUGCCAACUUUUCCUCUCAAUUCUGAUGAAGAUGAACAGAGAGGCUCUGAGAGGUUCUGCAACAGAUGAACACAUUUAACCGGGGGCGAGCAGCACUUCCUAGCAUAUUUGAACUCAGACCCUUCCUCAUCUAACACAUUGUAAGGAACGCUAACUUAAGUCCAGAGUCCACCAUUUAUUCCUUCAGCACUUGAGUGCCUCCUUGGGCCUUUCUUGGUCUCCAGUCCGAUGACUCCCUCUUGCUGGGCGUUGCUCCUUCAUUACUUGUUCCCUGCCUCCUGCCAGGGACUCCAAAGAUUAGCCCUCAGGAGAGUGCUGGGCCUUGUUGGCUCUGUACCCCUCCCUACUCCCACCUGUCUGCAUAGCAGUUCUAUCAACAGCCAUCAAGAGACGCUGGUGAAGCCACUUUUCCUGUUCCUCCCACCUGCUCUGGGAAGCACCCCAGGAGGCCAGGGAGAACACGAAGUGGGGGUUUCCUUCUUGGGAACUCCCAGGAUUAUUCCAUCCAUGUGUACAGGCUGCCUGUGGUGCAGCAUCCACCUGACGUCACUGGAGCUGGGAAAAGACACUUUCCUGGACAGCCUGGGACGAAAGCAGUGGCCUUCCAGCACAGCCACCUACCGCAGCCUGACAGAUUGAUGUAAGUAAGGUGGAAACAGUCUGUUCCUGGCCUUGUCCAACCAGGGGAGGAGGAUUGAGAAAUGUGUCUGGCGUUGGUGCUGCAGGAGAAUGCAUAAGUAGCCAAUUCACUUACUGGAAAAGAAAUGACCUAAUCUGCCAAGUGGCCUGCAUCUUAAUGGGCAGACCAUGCGGCAGAGUGGGAGGGCCAGCACAGGGCCUAGCCCAUGCCCUGGGUGGGGUCUGGGGGAUCGAAGGCCCUUGCGCCUUCAGCCUCACACCCUGUCCAGCAGGAGCAGAGCCCCUUUGAAAGCAACAGUGGUUCUGAAAGUGCCACUCUUCAAGCCAAGAAUGCCCCUGCCAGAGUCAAAUGCACCCAAGAAGGAGUGAG